GUGAGUCAUCGAAUCUUUGAACGCACCUUGCACCCUUUGGUAUUCCGAAGGGUACACCCGUUUGAGUGUCAUUGUAAUCUCACUACGACUACUUUAUUGUUGUUUGUAUGUGGACCUGGAUGUUGCCGUGUAACAAACGGCUCAUCUGAAAUGCCUGAGUGUACCCUGCUUUGCGGCGUAUUUGGUGUGAUAAAUCUUCACCGGAGUUGACUUUCGGGUCGCGUCAGCUUUAACAUGGCUCUAUGCUUCCAACCGUCCUAACAAGACAACCUUUGACAAUUUGACCUCAAAUCGGGUGGG
rnacentral:misc_RNA from 1 species